rnacentral:rRNA from 1 species
AUUGAACGCUAGCGGGAUGCUUUACACAUGCAAGUCGAACAAGUGGCGGACGGGUGAGUAAUAUAUCGGAACGUGCCCAGUAGCGGGGGAUAACUACUCGAAAGAGUGGCUAAUACAGCCUAAUCUUGGAGCGGCCGAUAACGGAGUAACUAGUUGGUGGGGUAAAGGCUCACCAAGGCAACGAUACUUAGCUGGUUUGAGAGGACGACCAGCACCACUGUGACUUAGACACGGCCCAGACUCCUACUGGAAGCAGCAGUGGGGAAUUUUGGACAAUCGGGGAAACCCUGAUCCAGCCAUGCCGCGUGUAUGAGAAGGCCUUCGGGUUGUAAAGUACUUUUGGCAGAGAAGCGGUAUCUGCAGAAUAAGCACAGGCUAACUACGUGCCAGCCGCCGCGGUAAUAC